rnacentral:rRNA from 1 species
AUGGUCCGCUGCGAUGCCUCGACCGCGAUGCUACUAAAGCGUGGUUCGCUGCAGACCGGCGGUGCGGUGCUGCUGCCACGCCCCGACGGUGAUGCUGCUUUGCAGCACGUGGUUCGCUGCAGUCCAGCGAUAGCGGGUGUUCCGUUGCAGACGUGGCUGUCGCACAUUGCUGACUGCCCGCAACGGUGGCGCUGCUGCAAAUGGCGCGGGACUGGAAACCGGAGCCCCGCUCUUGCGAGCGCGAGCGCUAUUGCUUGCCCGUAUCCGGCCACCGGCGGAGCCCAUCCGCAACUACCACGCCAACCCAGCUUUGUUUGGCCUGUUCACGAAUCAAUGGUGACCUGUCUUGCCUUAUCGGAGACAUGGCCUCGACGAGCUGCUCGUUCGGAGUCGAGCACAACACUAACUGGAACAGGAAGCCCCAAGUCGCCGAUUCCUCCGCAGCCGGCGGCUGUGUAG